GAUGAACGCUGGCGGCGUGCCUAAUACAUGCGAGUCGAGCGAACGGACGAGAAGCUUGCUUCUCUGAUGUUAGCGGCGGACGGGUGAGUAACACGUGGAUAACCUACCUAUAAGACUGGGAUAACUUCGGGAAACCGGAGCUAAUACCGGAUGAUAUUUUGAACCGCAUGGUUCAAAAGUGAAAGACGGUCUUGCUGUCACUUAUAGAUGGAUCCGCGCUGCAUUAGCUAGUUGGUAAGGUAACGGCUUACCAAGGCAACGAUGCAUAGCCGACCUGAGAGAGUGAUCGGCCACACUGGAACUGAGACACGGUCCAGACUCCUACGGGAGGCAGCAGUAGGGAAUCUUCCGCAAUGGGCGAAAGCCUGACGGAGCAACGCCGCGUGAGUGAUGAAGGUCUUCGGAUCGUAAAACUCUGUUAUUAGGGAAGAACAUAUGUGUAAGUAACUGUGCACAUCUUGACGGUACCUAAUCAGAAAGCCACGGCUAACUACGUG
rnacentral:rRNA from 1 species